GUAAAUAUAACUCAAAGGUAGAGUAGUAAAUUGUGAUUUUAAAAGUUGCAGGUUCAAAUCCUGUUAUUUACC
rnacentral:tRNA from 1 species